GUACGGGGGGGCAAGCGUUGUUCGGAAUUACUGGGCGUAAAGGGUUCGUAGGUGGCCAACUAAGUCAGACGUGAAAUCCCUCAGCUUAACUGGGGAACUGCGUCUGAUACUGGAUGGCUUGAGUGCAGGAGAGGAACGCGGAAUUCCAGGUGUAGCGGUGAAAUGCGUAGAUAUCUGGAGGAACACCGGUGGCGAAGGCGGCGUUCUGGACUGCAACUGACACUGAGGAACGAAAGCCAGGGGAGCAAACGGG
rnacentral:rRNA from 1 species